GGGGUUGUGGCUCAGUGGUGGAGCGUUUGCCUAGCAUGUGUGAAGCCCUGGGUUCAAUUCUCAGCACCA
rnacentral:tRNA from 1 species